GUGGGUGGAUCACGAGGUCAAGAGAUCGAGACCAUCCUGGCCAACAUGGUGAAACCCUGUCUCUACUAAAAAUACAAAAAUUAGCUGGGCGUGGUGGCAUGCACCUGUAGUCCCAGCUACUUGGGCGGCUGAAGGAAGAGAAUCACUUAAACCUGGGAGACGGAGAUUGCAGUGAGCUGAGAUCACACCACUGCACUCCAGCCUGGAGCAGGGACCACUCCAGCCUGGCGACAGAGCGAGACUCUGUCUAAAAAAAAAAAAAAAUUGUAGAGACAGGGUCUCACUAUGUUGCCCAGGUUGGUCUCACACUCUUGGGCUCAAGCAGUCCUCCGACCUUGGCCUCUCCAAGUGCUGGGAUUACGGGCAUGAGCCACCAGGCCUGGCUUGGAUUUAUUUACUUUCUCAGUUUUAAGGACUAAUUAUUAUUACAAGAGGUGAAUAUGCCAUAAUUUAUUUAAUUGUACAUCAUUUUUUAAUUGAUACAGAUAAGCUGUGACACUUUGUUCAUCUUUAUGUUUAUAUCCAUGGGAUAGAUCCCUGGCAGAGCACCUUGCUGAUCAAAUGGUAACAACUCUUUAAGGCUCAUCAUUCAUACUAGCCCCCAGUUAACCCAGCUAACCCAGGGACUGGCAUAUUGUAGAGGUUCAAUGAGCCAGUGUCUGAAAGGCUAACCUCAACCUCGCCCCUCCUGUAGCACUUCCCCAGUUCUGCUGUCUCCAUCCAGGGCAUAGUUUUCUCUUGGGCUGUGCUUCUUACGAUUCUCUGGCAUUACUGUCCAUGGCACAUCUAUGGUGUCGGAACAGCUGGGGAGGCUAUCAGAAGGUUCCACUCCAUGGGAGAAAGGCUUUAUCUACAGAUCUGCCCUUGUGAGAAGGCACCAGCUAACCCAGUCUCAGGGCGAUGCCAGCAUCUCACCUCCUCUCACUGUGGAAACCAUUUCCCCACCAAGGGAGCAACUGAAGCAUUCUUGUGAAUAGCCUGAAGCUUUGUGGUGAGCUGAAGCUGUCCUGGUUUGUGCAAUGCACGGCAUGACACCAAUAUCAUGAUUAAAAAUUUUCCCCUUCAGAGAGGAUCAGGAAAAAAACUAAUGGGUACUAGGCUUAAUAUCUAGGUGACAAAAUGAUCUGUAUAACAAACUCCCAUGACAUGAGUUUACCUAUGUAACAAGCCUGCACAUGUACCCCUGAACUUAAAAGUUAAAAAAAUGAAAAAAGAAACAAAAUUCCCCCUCAGUCUCCCCAAGUUUGUAUUUUCUAAUACCCCAAGGCUGCCUGUAAAGAGAAGAGAUGGCUGAGAACACAGAAGGAGGCAGCAGCUACAAGUCCUGAGUUCAGUUCUAUCCGGCCGCCACGAGACAGAGGGAGAGUGAGUCCCAUUCUACGGAUGAGAAGAUGGAGGCCCACGGGGAUUUUCACAAGAGUUGGUACCAACAAAGAUUUCUGAAGCUUCGUCUAUAUCUCCGGGGAGAUUCUGCAAAAGUUCAUAGUUGACUAUUCUGAAACCAGCCCCCAGUGCCCCAAGCCAGGUGUCAUGUAAGUGCCAGUGCUCCUGCCCACCCCUCGGGAGGGAGGCUGGGAGGUCUGGGGUGAGGUCCCCUCAGAGUACUCAGCUCUCUAAGGCCCAUCAAGGUGAAGGACUCCAGGGCAGGCCCCUGCAGUGUUUUCUGACCUGGCCUGGGGCCUGCAGAGUCCUGAAGGGCCUGCCCAUGGGCAGAGGGAAGAGAGAAGACUUGACAACAGGAAGUUUGCUUCCUGAGGAACCCCAUCUGAGACACUUGGGGAAGGCCCAUGAACCCCGAAGUUAAGGGGAAAUUUUACAGGCGAGAGGACAGGCCCUGAGAUACCUGGGACAGAGAAGGACGCAGGGGCCACAGGAUUCCCCUGAUGAAUUCAUCAGUUCUUAACUCUUCCUUCCUUCUCCACGGCCUCCUAACCAAGAGAGGCUGGCAGAUCUGUGCUGACCCCAAUAAGAAAUGGGUCCAGAAAUACAUCAGCGACCUGAAGCUGGAUGCCUGAGGGACCUGGAAGCUGUGAGGACCCAGUGACCUUGGUGGGCCCAGGAGGGAGCAGGAGCCUGAGCCAGGGCAAUGACCCUGCCACCCUGGAGGCCACCUCUUCUAAGAGUCCCAUCUGCUAUGCCCAGCCACAUUAACUAACUUUAAUCUUAGUUCAUGCAUCACAUUUCAUUUUGAAAUUGAUUUCUAUUGUUCAGCUGCAUUAUGAAAUUAGUAUUUUCUCUGACAUCUCAUGACAUUGUCUAUCACCCUUUCCCCUUUCCCUUCAACUCUUCGCACAUUCAAUGUGUGGAUCAAUCAGUGUGAUUACCUUUCUCAGCAGACAUUAUGCCAUAUGUAUCAAAUGACAAAUCCUUAUUAAUGGUUUUGCUCAGCAUCACCUUUUAAUAUAUUGGCAGCACUUAUAUAAAAGGUA